GACGAACGCUGGCGGCGUGCUUAACACAUGCAAGUCGAACGGAAAGGCCCUGCUUGCAGGGUACUCGAGUGGCGAACGGGUGAGUAACACGUGGGUGAUCUGCCCUGCACUUCGGGAUAAGCUUGGGAAACUGGGUCUAAUACCGGAUAGGAGCCAUCUUUAGUGUGGUGGUUGGAAAGUUUUUUCGGUGUAGGAUGAGCUCGCGGCCUAUCAGCUUGUUGGUGGGGUAAUGGCCUACCAAGGCGGCGACGGGUAGCCGGCCUGAGAGGGUGUACGGCCACAUUGGGACUGAGAUACGGCCCAGACUCCUACGGGAGGCAGCAGGGGGGAAUAUUGCACAAUGGGCGCAAGCCUGAUGCAGCGACGCCGCGGGGGGGAUGAAGGCCUUCGGGUUGUAAACUCCUUUCGCUAGGGACGAAGCUUUUUGUGACGGUACCUAGAGAAGAAGCACCGGCUAACUACGUG
rnacentral:rRNA from 1 species